GAUGAACGCUGGCGGCGUGCCUAAUACAUGCAAGUCGAGCGAACGGACGAGAAGCUUGCUUUUCUGAUGUUAGCGGCGGACGGGUGAGUAACACGUGGAUAACCUACCUAUAAGACUGGGAUAACUUCGGGAAACCGGAGCUAAUACCGGAUAAUAUUUUGAACCGCAUGGUUCAAAAGUGAAAGACGGUCUUGCUGUCACUUAUAGAUGGAUCCGCGCUGCAUUAGCUAGUUGGUAAGGUAACGGCUUACCAAGGCAACGAUGCAUAGCCGACCUGAGAGGGUGAUCGGCCACACUGGAGCUGAGACACGGUCCAGACUCCUACGGGAGGCAGCAGUAGGGAAUCUUCCGCAAUGGGCGAAAGCCUGACGGAGCAACGCCGCGUGAGUGAUGAAGGUCUUCGGAUCGUAAAACUCUGUUAUUAGGGAAGAACAGAUGUGUAAGUAACUGUGCACAUCUUGACGGUACCUAAUCAGAAAGCCACGGCUAACUACGUG
rnacentral:rRNA from 1 species